UGCGUAGGGUGCAAGCGUUAAUCGGAAUUACUGGGCGUAAAGCGUGCGCAGGCGGUGAUGUAAGACAGGUGUGAAAUCCCCGGGCUUAACCUGGGAACUGCAUUUGUGACUGCAUCGCUGGAGUGCGGCAGAGGGGGAUGGAAUUCCGCGUGUAGCAGUGAAAUGCGUAGAUAUGCGGAGGAACACCGAUGGCGAAGGCAAUCCCCUGGGCCUGCACUGACGCUCAUGCACGAAAGCGUGGGGAGCAAACAGG
rnacentral:rRNA from 1 species